UACGUAGGGUGCAAGCGUUAAUCGGAAUUACUGGGCGUAAAGCGUGCGCAGGUGGUUGUGCAAGACAGAUGUGAAAUCCCCGGGCUUAACCUGGGAAUUGCAUUUGUGACUGCACAGCUAGAGUGUGGUAGAGGGGGAUGGAAUUCCGCGUGUAGCAGUGAAAUGCGUAGAGAUGUGGAGGAACACCGAUGGCGAAGGCAGCCCCCUGGGCUAACACUGACGCCUCAUGCACGAAAGCGUGGGGAGCAAACAGG
rnacentral:rRNA from 1 species